ACAGAAGACCCUAGUCUAAGAAGAAGCUGUGUUGUGCCUACAAUGGCCUGGACUCCUGGCAUCUUUGUGGUUCUAUCUUACCUGACAGGAUCCUUUUGUCAGUCUAUAUUGACACAACCACCCUCCAUCUCUGAAUCUCCUGGAUCAACAGCCAGACUCACCUGCAGCCUGAGGAGUGAUAACAGUGUUGGGGGAAAAAAUAUUUACUGGUACCAGCAAACAGAGGGGAGCCCUCCUAGGUUUUUCCUGUACUACUACUCAGACUCAGAUAAGAAGCUGGGUCCUGGAGUCCCCAGUAGAGUCUCUGGAUCCAAAGAUACCUCCAAAAAUGUUGCAAAUUUGCAGAUCUCUGAGCUACAGGUUCAGGAUGAAGCUGUGUAUUACUGUUCCAUCUGGGAAAAUAGUGGCUAUCACAGUGACACAGGCAGAUGGGGAAGUAGGCAUAAACUGUAGCUUGUGAAACAUAUAUUAGUUUUGUUUUU